UCCUCGAUGGUCUAGUGGUCAUGAUUUCCGCUUGUCAGCUUUAUGACUGCAAGCGCGGGAGACCUGGGUUCGAUUCCCAGUCGGGGAG
rfam:Aspergillus ruber CBS 135680 unplaced genomic scaffold scaffold00017, whole genome shotgun sequence.